rnacentral:rRNA from 1 species
UACGUAGGGUCCGAGCGUUGUCCGGAGUUACUGGGCGUAAAGCGCGCGCAGGCGGCUUCAUAAGUCUGGCGUGAAAGCCCCGGGCUCAACCGGGGAGGGUCGUCGGAGACUGUGGAGCUUGGGGGCGGUAGGGGCUGGUGGAAUUCCCGGUGUAGUGGUGAAAUGCGUAGAGAUCGGGAGGAACACCUGUGGCGAAGGCGGCCAGCUGGGCCGACCCUGACGCUGAGGCGCGAAGGCGUGGGGAGCGAACGGG